UCCAGACUCCUACGGGAGGCAGCAGUGGGGAAUAUUGCACAAUGGGGGGAACCCUGAUGCAGCGACGCCGCGUGGGUGAAGGAGCACCUCGGUGCGUAAAGCCCUAUCGGCAGGGAAGAAACAGACGGUACCUGACUAAGAAGCCCCGGCUAACUACGUGCCAGCAGCCGCGGUAAUACGUAGGGGGCAAGCGUUAUCCGGAUUUACUGGGUGUAAAGGGGGCGCAGACGGCGAUGCAAGCCAGGAGUGAAAGCCCGGGGCCCAACCCCGGGACUGCUCUUGGAACUGCGUGGCUGGAGUGCAGGAGGGGCAGGCGGAAUUCCUGGUGUAGCGGUGAAAUGCGUAGAUAUUAGGAGGAACACCAGUGGCGAAGGCGGCCUACUGGACGGUGACUGACGCUGAGGCUCGAAAGCGUGGGGAGCAAACAGGAUUAGAUACCCGCGUGCCC
rnacentral:rRNA from 1 species